rnacentral:lncRNA from 1 species
AGAAACCAGAUUACCAUGCGCUACAUAAAAUGAACUAAAGACCUCUUUUUAUACCAGAGACAGAUCACAGUAAAACUAAUUUCAUUUGGGGUCAGAUGUUGGAGUCAGAGGGGGCCGUGGCCAGAUGUAAGUAAAUCUUGGUUUCAGAUAGAAACAAAUAAACAGCGUUACAUUGAAAGAUUGUAAUCAAUGAAAGUCUUUCUUGGUCUCCCAAAUGAAUGUGACUCAGUCCUUUGAACACUAAACAGCAACAGUUUAUUUGCACCAUUCUUAUCGUUCUUAUUCUGAAUCUGUCACAGUCACUUAUUUAUUCAUUCAGUUAUUUGGUCAGACUCUCAUUGAAGAUUUAUGGAAGGCUUGUUAUGCAUCAAGUACAGUGUCAAAGACCAGGAUACCAAACAGAGCGAGACAUGGUCCCUACCUUCUAGGAACUCAGGGAAGAGGCAUAUGAAAAAAUAAUUAUAACAUGAAAGGUGCCAUAACAGAAGCAUGUACUGAGUGCUUGGAGGUGAAGUCUUUACAAAGGAGGCAACAUUUGAACUUGAAGAUAACAGGAGUUUUCUAGGCUGAAAUUGCAGAUUAUCUGGAAAAUCUGUUAAAGAAGGAGCCAGCAUGGUGUGUGAGGAAAUGGUAAAUAGUUUGAUAUGGAAAGAUCUUGAAGUAUGUAGGGAGAGUGUCAGAAGAGAUUAAAAAGGUAGGUGAAGGUAAGAGAUAAGUCACCAGGGCUUCAUACAUAGAUCUUGCUGUGGGCAUUGGACUUUAUUUUUACAGAUAAAAGGAAUUUGUUGAGGGACUUUACGUAAAAGAAGGGCAAUAUUAGGUUUGGGCUUUAAAACCUAAAACCUUCAGCAGUCUGAAGGAAGAGUUAUUGUGGGGAGGGAUUGGAUGCAAAGAAAUCAACAGGGAGGUAUUUCAACACCUAAAUCAACAGGCGGUAAAUCAAUGGGGAGGUGAGAAGUGACAAGGUCUUGAUAGCUGAAACAAAGGAAACAGAAUGGGUUCAGGGAAGAAGUGAGAGACUGAUGCACCAAUAAGACCUAAUAAUUGACUGAUGGGAGAUGAUGUGGGAAAGGAAGACGUUAAGGAUGACUUAAGAAGUUAAGAGUCAGUGGCCAGGACAGCUGAGGAAAUGAGGGUUCCUUUAAGUACAGUAGAUAAAAAAAGAACAGGUUGGGAAGAAAAAUGACAUACUGCCUUUAAGAUGCCCACAUGACUUUCAGAUGGGCAAGCCCCAUGCGCUGUUAGAAUUAUCUGUCCAGAGUUGAGCCUAGAGAUGGAUUAAGAUUUAGAUAGGUGCUGAGGCUGUGGAAUCAGAUGGCACAGAUCAGACCACUGACCAGCAAACUUUUUGACAUUAGUAGCGUGAUAGUCCCCCAAACCCCUAGCAUAGUACUUUGCAUAAAGCAAGCAGCAUCUAUGUAAAAAUCUACAGAAACAUACAAAGACAUACCUGUUUGGAAAUUGCUAGUAAUAGCUAGAUGCCCAGAGACCUCAAGUUUGAAGUCACUGCAACUUUGAAGACUUAUUUUAGGGUCAAAUGGGCAAUAAGAGUACAGCUGACAAACUGCUAUGUAUAAAAUAACUAAGCAAGAAGGAUAUAUGUACAACACAGGGAAAUAGAGCCCUUAUUUUGUAAUAACUUUAAAUGGAGUGUAAUCUAUAAAAAUGUCGAAUCACUGUUUUAUACACCUGAAACUAAUAUAAUAUUGUAAAUCACUUCAGUUCA